GGAAUCUUCUUUCAGAAAAGGGGAACUCGAGUAAAGGGUGAGUUGCACUGUCUCGCAGCGCACAGGACGAUGGCCUCCCGUCUGGAGAAGAAUCUUUUGUUUGUCGGUCGACACUAGAAGAGUUGGAAUGAUUUUUCGCAGGGCGUACUUGAAACUAAACACACAUUCUGUCUGGUCGACUGAAUUCUCUUGUGCGGAAAGCGUCACUCUUUCCGCGGGUCUUGCCACUGGUGUCGACCCGCGUCUCACUUCAGCGUGGCUUCCUCCUUCGACGCUUUCUGCCCACCAAAAAACUUCAACCUCAAAAUGCCUUGAUCUAGCUUCGCCUCUCUCUCCUUUAACACCCGGCCAACACAGCCUCGUCGCUGCUGUUUCGGUGCUUCCUCAUCUCUUCUUCGUCGAUGACUCGCCAGAUGUCUCCACAGAGCUCAUUUCGUUCCAGUCGGCUAAUAUUCGGGGCGGAUUAUCUAGUCGUCUCGCAGGAGACAACCGACGAGAACUGUGCAGCCAGGUUGCACCAGUUGUCUUGAAUUUCCUGUUUUUAUUUUCCACAUAUUUACCGACGUAUUUUGCGUGGAACUGCUUCUCGAGGAAAACACACCCUUUUGACGCCUUCUCUGCCUUCCUUUCACACCGUCUCUGCGCCUCUGUCUCGGCUUUUGUCUCUCCUUGCUUGCCCCGUCUUGAGACACCCGUGGAGGGAAGCGCCUUGUCGGGGGGGGGGAUGACGAGCGUCCCUUGGAAGGAGCAGUUGAAGAAAGACAAACUUCUCUCGACAGAGUCACACACCGAAAGAUGGAGCCGAUGUGCGCGUGAGAAAAAGUCCUCGAGGCAUUCCUUCGUCCAGUCUCCCGUGGUUCCUCCCGUCUCCGCUGACAGACAGUGAAGCGACCCCUGCUGCCAGACAGGAGUGUGUGUGCGAUGCGCAGGACGCGUUUUCUUUCUUUUGUCGAUAAAAAAUCAUCCAAUGGUUUGAGAGAAAGACUCAGUUGCUCAUGCAGUCUCAUCCAAUUCCACUUGUUCGCUUGUUCUCCUCUCUGUGUUUCACAGCUGUCUCCCGUCGCUCCCCUGUCCUGUGAAAUGUCUCCCUCUGAGCACCUCCGACAUCUGCGGAGCAAUUCUGCCUAGAAACAGAUUCAGAUCUGCAUUUCGCUGGAUCGCUGUGUUGCGUCUCCGCGUCCUGUUUUCUUCUCACUUCCUCCACGUCGGCUUUCCUCGCGCGAGGCUUGCGGCUUCCUCUCUGCCGCUCCCGUCUCCGAAUGUAGCUUCCUGUACAUCUGCUUCCUCCUCUACAGAGUCUUGGACUCUCGUCCACUUCUGUUUCCCCUCUAGAGACGGACGCCUCUUUUCUUCUCUCUUCAGUCUUUCCUCUUCUUUUCGCGCCUUUCUCUUUCUUGUGUUCUGCCUCUCUUUCUUCUUCCAUACCUCUCGCGUUCUGCCUUUCGCUCCUCUCUCUGUCUCCUUCUGCUCCCCCGCUUCGCUCUCGGCUGGUGAAACAAGUGGAGGGCAGUCCCUCUCUCUGCUUGAGCAACGAGCGCCGGACGCGAAGGUCCCGCUCUCUGCAUCGCCUGCGCGUCUCGACCAACCAGUCGACGCUUUCUCUCCUUUUCUCUGUUCUUCUCCUCGGUCAUCCCCCUUUUUCGUCUGGCGAACGUCUCCGCAACUGCUAUCUCCGCGCGUACACCGUCAUCCGCAAUUCUGUUAUUUAAGAG
rnacentral:lncRNA from 1 species